AGUGGCGAACGGGUGAGUAACACGUGAGCAAUCUGCCCCUGACUCUGGGAUAAGCGCUGGAAACGGCGUCUAAUACCGGAUACGAGCUGCGAAGGCAUCUUCAGCAGCUGGAAAGAAUUUCGGUCAGGGAUGAGCUCGCGGCCUAUCAGCUUGUUGGUGAGGUAACGGCUCACCAAGGCGUCGACGGGUAGCCGGCCUGAGAGGGUGACCGGCCACACUGGGACUGAGACACGGCCCAGACUCCUACGGGAGGCAGCAGUGGGGAAUAUUGCACAAUGGGCGAAAGCCUGAUGCAGCAACGCCGCGUGAGGGACGACGGCCUUCGGGUUGUAAACCUCUUUUAGCAGGAAAGAAGCGAAAGUGACGGUACCUGCAGAAAAAGCGCCGGCUAACUACGUGCCAGCAGCCGCGGUAAUACGUAGGGCGCAAGCGUUAUCCGGAAUUAUUGGGCGUAAAGAGCUCGUAGGCGGUCUGUCGCGUCUGCUGUGAAAACCCGAGGCUCAACCUCGGGCCUGCAGUGGGUACGGGCAGACUAGAGUGCGGUAGGGGAGAUUGGAAUUCCUGGUGUAGCGGUGGAAUGCGCAGAUAUCAGGAGGAACACCGAUGGCGAAGGCAGAUCUCUGGGCCGUAACUGACGCUGAGGAGCGAAAGGGUGGGGAGCAAACAGGAUUAGAUACCCUGGUAGUCCACGCNGUAAACG
rnacentral:rRNA from 1 species